UGACCUCAUUUUCAUGGUUCAGUGACCACUUGAAAAAAAAGUUCAGAUUUUUUGUAAUGUUGAAUUCUCUCUUAUUAUAAGUAAUAGGAUAACUAUAUUUGAUAUGUGCGUACCUUGCAAGGUCCUCGUGUCUGUCAGACAGUUUUCACUUGACCUUGACCUCAUUUCAUGGAUCAGUGAACAAGGUUAAGUUUUGGUGGUCAAGUCCAUAUCACUGAUACUAUAAGCAAUAGGGCUAGUAUAUUCGGUGUAUGGAAGGACUGUAAGGUGUACAUGUCCAACUGGCAGGUGUCAUCUGACCUUGACCUCAUUUUCAUGGUUCAGUGGUUAUAGUUAAAUUUUUGUGUUUUGGUCUGUUUUUUUCAUACUAUAUGCAAUAGGUCUACUAUAUUUGUUGUAUGGAAUGAUUGUAAGGUGUACAUGUCUAGCGGGCAGAUGUCAUGUGACCUUGACCUCAUUUUCAUGGUUCAGUGGUCAAAGUUGAGUUUUUGAGUUUUGGUCUUUUUAUCUAAUACUAUAUGCCAUAGGUCAACUAUAUUUGGUGUAUGGAAAUAUUUUAUGAUUUUUAUGUCAGUAGCGCAG
rnacentral:lncRNA from 1 species